UUGACACUAUUGCCCACUUGC
rnacentral:siRNA from 1 species